AUUGUACGUAAACGCCGUCUAUUACACCUAAUGCGAGAGAGAGAUCGAGCGCAAGGCAGGAGAGUCAGUUGGUACCCACAAAGGUACCGGGCACAAAAACGCUAGCCCACGGAUGCUGACUGGUCUUUCGCUUUUAUGUGCAAAUGUAAAUCUAUUUACAAUAUGUGUGAAAAGACAAGGCUAUUUAGCUUUACUUGUUCAUUGAAUGCUUGACCGACUGAAGAACAUGCCUAUUAUACGAGUAUCUCUCCGGGAAAAUUGAUUUUUCCGCAAAUAAAUUCAUUAUAUUAAUUAAAUAUUAAUUAGCUGUUAAGGAAAAUGUCGCAAAAAUUGCAAAUGUUUUUGCAGCACCUGCGCUUGGUUGGCUGCGGCACACGGGAAAAAUCAGUUACUAAUCCCCACACACGCACAAUUACUAACACACACAAACGAACAAGCACAUACCGAUCAUCAGCUGCGGCUCUUGUUUACCG
rnacentral:sRNA from 1 species